rnacentral:lncRNA from 1 species
UCAUGCAUUAAGGAAUGACAAAACCAUCUUGAACUUGGAAAAUCUUCUCUCUUUAUGCCGCACGGAUUCUCUCUCCUUAGAGACUUGGGAAAUCUUCACGGCAUCUCCAUACAUAUCUCGGAUUGUACUUCUCCUAGCUCAAGCAGGAACUCCUAGUUGCCGGCCACCUUUCCCUCAUGAGUUAGGAAAACAUUUCCUAAUCAACACGGGUUUAGACUUUCCUGAAAUAGAAAUGAGAAAAUUAGAGACUAGGAAAGAGGAAAGAUGGAAUCCUGAUCAAGACAGGAAUCCUGAGUAAACAAGGAUUUCCAACACUAAGCACAAUUUCAACACCAAAUUAUUCAAAUCCGAAAAUACUAUGUAUUCUAAUACUAAAAACUACAUAUUUCUAAAUUAAGCAAUUAUUCUACACUAAACACAAAUAUAAAGCUAAAACAACUAAAUAGGAGUUAGCAAAGGGUAAAUAAAGGGUAUAAACAUAUUAAGAACGUCACACUUUGUGCUCCUAUCACAUUUCCAUAGAACAUAUGCUGCAACGAUAGCUCAAAAACGCUCAACACAAAAACUGGAAAUUUCAUGACUAGCUUCGGCCAGUCUCCAAAGCUCAAUAAAAUACAGCCUCUCAGGCUAAAAUACAAAUAUAUAUGUAUGUAUCUACACUCGUCCAUACUCCUUGUAUGAAUUCUUAAGAAAAUAUAAGAAAAAUAGAAGUUCAUACAAGGCUACUACGCUUGCGUCCAACGCUCAUGUCACGCCUUAAUGCGGUGAUACACUACGCCAUUAAAGUAGACAGACGGGUGUAUAAAUAUGUGCCCAUAACUCCUAUAUGAAUUAAACACUCAUAUACGCUACCACGCUCGCGUCCAAUGCUCACGUCACACCAUAAUGCGGCUAUAUGCUACGCCAUUAAGGUGGACAGACACAUAUGGCUAGCUAGCAUUCCUUCAUAUACAUAUUAUUCUCAUAAUCAUCCAAAUAUGGAUAUAUAUAUAUAUAUAUAUACUCACCGAAAUUCUCAAUUUCGGUUAUUCUCCAACAAUAAUGAAAAUUGCCAAUUAUCAUAAAAAGCAAUAUGCACACGACUCCACCGAAAAUCUCAUUUUCGGUAACUUUCCAAAUAACACGAUAGCCAUUAAAAAUGAGAACAUUGACUUCUGAAAAUGACUUCGCGAAAAUAAACAAUUCCACAUUGAUAUUCAAUAAAAUCAAUUAUUUAAUAUAGAAUCACCGCAUGCAUAUAUUUUAAAACAAAAGUCCACUCACAACUUUAGGCCUAAGCCCGACGUCGAUCCGAGUCCUCUUCCUCUCCAGCCUCCUCACGUCGUGAGCCAAACAUAUAAUUAAUAGGCAAAAUAAACCAAGAGCCAUAAACACGCUCAUCAUUGCCUAACUUCGAUAUUCUUAAAUCGAAACAACCCAAACUUUAAUACCAUACUCGGCAGCCGUAAUUACAACCUCCCCAGAACAACGAUUUAAAUCCUACGACCGGAAUCUACAUUAUUUAACCGCCAAAAAUACUAAACUUCGGAAAUUCCCAAACCUAUCAAAAACUCAUCCAAAAAUUCCAUAACUCACAUCAAUAAACUCCCCUUAAUAUUCCACACUUAAAACUAUACAAAACUCCCAAACAGCGAUGGCGCCGGCGCCGGCUCUGCCGGCAGCACCGGCCGGAGGCCGAUUCCGGUGACCUCCAAUGCCUAUGAAAUUUUGACAGAAUAAUCUCCUCAUCAUGCUCUACAACUUUCCUAACUAGCACAACACCCAAAUCCAAGCCUAACUAGGCCAAUUGAAUGAAAACACACUAGAAAACCAUAGAGCUUCCACUCACCGGUUCUCCUUACCUAUACCACGAGAGGGCGAACUCUUUGGAGGGAUUGCUGCACGGGAGGAGAGCUUCACAACGAGCCAAGACUCGCCGGCUAUGGCGGCCGGAGGAUGGAGCUCCGACUUGAGGACAACCGGCUUCCAAGGAGGACUUCCUCUGUUCGGCGGGGUUGCAGCGCCGCUCACCAGCCCAGGAAGGCGGCGGGGAGGAUGACGGACCGUGCUGGAGUGUUGCAGCGUCCCUGCUUGGCCGGACGGCGACGGCGGGCGCUGGUCUUUCGGCGAAGUGAGAGAGAGCUCGGGAGAAGAAGAACCGGGGAAAGAAAAGAGAGAAGGAGAAAAAGAGGAGAAGAAGAGAAGAAAAAGAGAGGAGAAAAUGGGGUUUGGGCCUCACACCAACCCGGCCCAACACCACAAUUAAACCCAACUCCACCAUUAAAACACUCCAAAAAUAAAUGCCCUAAUAAAAAGUACCUUUUACUAGCUAAAACUCACCAUUUUUACCAUCGUCAUAUUUUUCUCCUACGAAUAAUCCUCCAAAAAUAACCGUCCCCAAAACCCCUCUAGGGACCAAUUAAACUAUAACCUCAAUGACGGAGACGGUAAAAUUCUUAUUAUAAUCAAGCUAGUAAAUAAGGUAAAUAUUUUAGGGUCGGGAUGUGACAAUUCUCCCCUCAUAAAAAAUUUCGUCCUCGAAAUUUACAUACUUGACAAAUCAAAGAGAUAGGGAUACUGCUACCUCAUUUGCUCCUCUGAUUCCCAAGUAGCUUCAUCUACUUGAUGACUCCUCCACAAAACUUUAACAAGAGGAAAAAGAUUUGCUUCAAAGCACUUGCUCUUUUUGGUCAAGAAUCUGUACCGGCUCCUCAUCAUAGGCCAAAUCUUUUUCCAAUUAAUCGACUGCUCUCGCAACACAUGAGAGAGAUCGGCAAUAAACUUCCGAAGCAUGGAUACAUGAAACCCAUUAUGUAUCUUGGAUAACUCCGGGGGCAAAACUAACCUAUACGCAAGAGAGCCAACUUGAUCUAAAACCCAUAAGGACCAAUAAAUCUUGGACCAAGCUUUUCACAUUACCAAACGUACCACCCCUUUCCAAGGAGACAAUUUCGAAAACACACAAACACUCACUUCAAACUCAUGGUCCUUCCUGCGGACAUCUUUAUAACUCUGCUGGCUACUAAGAGAUGUUUUGAGUCUUUCUCUGACUCCUUUAACCUUUUCAUUUCUCGAAGACUCUAAAUCCUUCAUUGAACUACCACUAACGUUUGCACGUAAGUGAGUUCAGUGAUACCUGCGCAAGAGUACAAGUACCCGUAGGUAUGCACACUCUUUCCUGAGCAAUGGAAAUAGCUAACCCAAAUAAAACGCAUACAUUUGCUAUCACCAUCGGGCUCAAAUCUCCUAACGUCACGCAACAACUUAGUCAUUACGCUGCUCACAGCUCGACAAUGAAGCCCACUUGCUACAAAACUAACAUUCACGCAUUCCCACAUGCUCAUAGGGGUCAAAAUUAAGACCCGCUAAUUGAACAGAUUUUUUAAGGAUGCACACACUGCAGAACUGCAACAAUCACUUCUAAUGCCAAGACAUUUCGCAGAGUCUUUCGCGGAGUCAAAGCUCUCGCAAGUCCACAAGACAACCUUGCUCUGCCUAAGAGACCAGUCCACCAACAUAUGAUAACCUCGAUUCUCGAAAUGACAUUAUGAAAAGAUCAAUACUACGUCACUUAGGUCUCUCCACCAAAACUAUUACAUUACCUUUUUGAACACCACAAACUAGCAGCUUAUGAGAAUUUCAACUCUCUCCUGAUUAUGCUAUCUCCACUAUUCUCUUUACCACAAACUAGAAGAUAAUUUGAAGCAUGACUAUCAUGUGGAAACUGGAAUUUCCUCCUUGCUCACCAUAAACAAAACUGACUAAUAAUGCCCACGAAAAAUUGGCACAGUCAAUUCGUGAUGCUAAACAUGACGUUGAAAUCCACAUAAAUAGAGCACCUUCCUUAAGCAUUGACAAAAUUUACAUCUCCAACCAUGCUACUUAUUCGUGUGCAACCAUGACCCCAAGAGAAAUAAUUAAAAGCACACGGCUCACUCUAGCCGUUCCACAAGAAUGAUUCUAAAUACCAACAUCUUUGAACCCGACAAACACACUUCUUUUCUACCUCCAAUAAUAAUUAAUCAGAUAGCAGAAAACGAUCUGAAAAUCAGAUAUGCUCAAGUCUCUUACGUCUCCCAGGGCCACGGCUUCCCACCAAAAAGAUUCUUCGAUAACCGAGCUUGCAAUAACAUGCAACAAAUAAAAGAAAAGAUAAAUUUUUAAUACAACAUCCACUACUACACCUUGUGGAUCACCAACCAACGAAAAUCAUGAAUUCAAGCAAAAAUCAAAACUCAUGGCUAAACUCAGCUCAAGUUCCAGAAGAAAUAACUUAAAGCACACGAAAGGCAAGUCCUCUAACUUCGAGCUCAAAAGCUCCACAAAUCUCCGAUAACCGCUAAAACCCGCUUCGAAAUCGCACUAGAAACUUCAACUAAUCAUCCUGACAUCAACGGAUGAACACACAACCACAUAGCGAAGACCUCCCAAAUCAAACUUGGAUCAAUGAGUGGUCCCACCACAAUACGAUCCCGAGAAGAGAUGCUGAUCAAUCUAUCAAUAUCUACUACUCUCAAUAUUAACACUCUUAAUAAACCUUGACCCUAGACGCUUCUUGAGUCAACAGGGGAAAACCCUCUUCCAUAAGGCUACACAUAAAAUAUACCUGCAACGAAACAAACCAUCUAAUCAACAUCUCCACAUGACCUUCAGACUACCACAUAAGACUUACGGCUCCAAGAUUCAUCGCUUAAAUGAACUGCAGCUCACUUGGGAUCACCACCGGAUUUAUUCCGGAUCCAUGACUACGACACAACUACCAAUUAACAUUUACCUUAAAACUUCGACAAAAGUAACCAAAAUCUCUACCCUUCAAAUCGAAGCAUUGAAUUCGCAUUCCAAAAUUUCAAGCUCUGAGGACGCUACCCAAAACUACAGCAGAAAUAAUUUAUAUACUUCCAACACACCACAACUAAACCUUUACUCCAUCUCACCGAAUUAGAAAUAAGGUGAGAACAGAUUCUCCCAUUGAUAUGUCGUAGAUAGUCACCCAUUGCGAACAAAAUGAUGUCAAAAACCAAUUUCGAUCACAAAUUUGAGACUUACAUCAACCACCCGGAAUGACACUGCUUAAAAAUUACUUUGGACACCCACGCACUCUUGCUUUAUGAUCCAGUGGGUUCUAUUCUACCGCUACCACUUCCACCAAUUUCACGCAACUACCUUAGAAUUUAUAAAACAAAAACUCAUGACAACACCUAUUUAAAAUUUCACCAUGUGUUGUCAUAAAACUGGAGUGACCACAACCAUCACUCCACCAUUACUUUUCGAUUCCAUUUACAUUAUCAUCUUCCCAACACUCAACAAAUAUGGAAACCAAACUUCAACACCUGGAAUUCCGAAAGAAUCCAUACUGGCCCCACGAUUAAAAUAAUAUAACCGACAACUCACUCCAUAAUUCCAAACUUGCUUGAAACUCAACAUUUAGUGUCAUCAAUAAAAUUUUAAAAUUCCCCGACUGUGGCACAACAAGAAGUUGUCACAACGCACUGACGAAUAACUUUUGUAAAACCAACAAUCCAAGUCAUUCUACUUAGUGCUUUAACAAACUUCAACUAACCCACAAUAGAGACUAAGAUCAUCAGAAAACUUAUUAUUCAUCGACUACUAACAUCCAUCAUUUUCAAAAUAUAUUACCACUACCAUCUGAAUAAAAUGCUCUAAGGAUAGAAACAUAUCCAUAAUUAGCACUGCAGAAACCAAAACAUAUACCGCCACAACCAAAAUUAUCCCAACAUGUUCCCAAUUGAUUUAUGUUGCGGAUAAAAUUGUCGGCAAAAUGGCCUUCAAUCAAGACUUAACUAAAUUGACAUUUAUCUUUUUAUGCAGCAAUGCCUUACCACCCAAUCACUAGCCACAAAUUCUCUAAAACCUUAUUUAACCCAAGACUAGGGUCCUCAACAACUCAUAUAGGUACCCCUUUGAAUUACCAUUGGAUACAUCACCUCAUCAUUUCAACUAACUUUUACAUCAAUAGAAUACACCACUACUUCGAAUUUUCCUUCCAACUCGACUCUCUCAGAAGUCACGUAACUCAAUACCAAAAUCUCCCACCAAUCCCUUUUUGGACUCCAAUCUUGCCCACUAAAAAUGGACAACUCCAAGGCAUUAAUCAUCAACAUUUCACCCCACAUAUUUGCACAAGAUGCUCACCUUAGCAUCUUAAUCUGAAACCUUAAUCUUAACCCAAUCAAUCAUUGGAUACCUGAAAAGAAUGCUAACAAGCUUUUUCGUUCCCCACUCGCAAAUCAACUCCAACCAUUAAUAUCAAAGAUAUUAAAUUAAUGAACCUUGGAAUAGGUGCAAAUUAUACACCUUUUCAAAACUCGAAGGAUGAACACUCAAGAGGUCGGCGUACAGAGGCAUAGACUUAGAGAUGUAGACAUUUAUGGCACACUGCUGUCCAUAAAUAAAAGAAGAACAACUACAUCACAAACCUAAUCAACACAUAGUGUCUAAAGCAUAUAAUGCUAAUAGAUCCGCCGCGGUCGGACCAUCACUCUAUAGACACUAAGCAUGACUAGGAAUAUGAGAUAGUACUAAAAAGAGAAAGGAAACGAAUAACCUAGUGCUCUGAUACCAACUGUCAGGACCCACCCCGAAUUUCACUCUGAAACCCGAAGUAAAUCCUGCGGGGACCACCUCCAAGGAAAAUUUACUGAAAAUUCGGCAUAACCUCCCUUGAAAAUGGACAACCCUUCCUAAGAAAACCUGCAUACACUUCUGAUAAACCAAAUCCAACUUUAAACUCCUGGAGCCUUCAUGCUCCCCCAAAUCACAACAUCUCUCAAUUAUUUAAAUAUCUACACAAAUCUCAUAUCCAACCAUUUAUAGGUGGUCUCCAAAGCACAAUAAAAUACAGCCUCUCAGGCUAAAAUACAAAUAUAUAUGUAUGUAUCUACACUCGUCCAUACUCCUUGUAUGAAUUCUUCAGAAAAUAUAAGAAAAAUAGAAGUUCAUACAAAGCUACUACGCUUGCGUCCAUCGCUCACGUCACGCCUUAAUGCGGUGAUACACUACACCGUUAAGGUGGACAGACGGGUGUAUAAAUAUGUGCCCAUACCCCCUAUAUGAAUUAAACACUCAUAUAGGGCUACUACGCUCGCGUCCAACGCUUACGUCAUACCAUAAUGCGGCUAUAUGCUACGCCAUUAAGGUGGACAGACACAUAUGGCUAGCUAGCAUUCCUUCAUAUACAUAUUAUUCUCAUAAUCAUCCAAAUAUGGAUAUAUAUAUAUAUAUACUCACCGAAAUUCUCAAUUUCGGUUAUUCUCCAACAAUAAUGAAAAUUGCCAAUUAUCAUAAAAAGCAAUAUGCACACGACUCCACCGAAAAUCUCAUUUUCGGUAACUUUCCAAAUAACACGAUAGCCAUUAAAAAUGAGAACAUUGACUUCUGAAAAUGACUUUGCGAAAAUAAACAAUUCCACAUUGAUAUUCAAUAAAAUCAAUCAUUUAAUAUAGAAUCACCGCAUGCAUAUAUUUUAAAACAAAAGUCCACUCACAACUUUAGGCCUAAGCCCGACGUCGAUCCGAGGCCUCUUCCACUCGAGCCUCCUCACGUCUUGAGCCAAACAUAUAAUUAAUUUCCCAACUAAAAAUCCAAUAUUUACACAAAAUAGGCAAAAUUAACCGAGAGCCAUAAACACGCUCAUCAUUGCCUAACUUCGAUAUUCUUAAAUCGAAACGACCGAAACUUUAAUACCAUACUCGGCAACCGUAAUUACAACCUCCCCAGAACAACGAUUUAAAUCCUAUGACCGGAAUCUACAUUAUUUUUAACCGCCAAAAAUACUAAACUUCGGAAAUUCCCAAACCUAUCCAAAACUCAUCCAAAAAUUCCAUAACUCACAUCAAUAAACUCCCUUUAAUAUUCCACACUUAAAAUGUCACAUCCUGACCCUUAUAUUUUUACCUCAUUUACUAGCCUGAUUAUAAUAAGAAUUUUACCGUCUCGAUCAUUGAGUAAAUAGUUUAAUUGGUCCCUAGAGGGGUUUCGGGGACGAUUAUGUGCGGAGGAUUAUUCGUAUGAGGAAAAUACGACGACGGUAAAAAUGGUAAAUUUUAGCCAGUAAAAGGUAAUUUUUAUUCGGGUAUUAUUUUUUCGGGGUGUUUUUAUUUUUGGAAGAUUGGGUUAAGUGUUGUGGACCGGUUUGGGGUGAGGCCCAAAAACCUUUUUUCUCUUCUCCCUCUCUCCCGAUUCUCUCUCCUCCCACCCGAUUUUCUCCUCUCUCCACCUGGAAAUUUCACCACCGCCGUCUGCCGCCGUCCGGCCACCCACCGGCCGCCGCACCAGCCCAGAUCGGACCCCCGUCACCUCUUCUCCCUCCCCGGCCUAGUGUCCGAGCCGGUGGUGCCGCCGAAGAGGAGAAAAAGCCGCCGGAACCGCCGACUGUCCAAAGCUUCACUUCGCCGGAACUUCCUCCUCCGGCCACCAAUCCGGGCAAGCUUGGUACGGUUUUGUAGCCCUCCUCCCGUGCAACAACCCCUCCAAGCAGCUCCCUCCCUCUUGAGCUAGGUAAUUAAGGAGAAAUUUGAGGUGGAAGUUUUAUGGUGUUUAAGUUGUUUCCGUUCGAUUAGCCUAGUAAGGCUUGGAAUUGGGUGAUGUGUUAGUCAUGAA